rnacentral:rRNA from 1 species
GACGAACGCUGGCGGCGUGCCUAAUACAUGCCAGUUGAGCGCUGAAGGUUGGUACUUGUACCAACUGGAUGAGCAGCGAACGGGUGAGUAACGCGUGGGGAAUCUGCCUUUGAGCGGGGGACAACAUUUGGAAACGAAUGCUAAUCCCGCAUAAAAACUUUAAACACAAGUUUUAAGUUUGAAAGAUGCAAUUGCAUCACUCAAAGAUGAUCCCGCGUUGUAUUAGCUAGUUGGUGAGGUAAAGGCUCACCAAGGCGAUGAUACAUAGCCGACCUGAGAGGGUGAUCGGCCACAUUGGGACUGAGACACGGCCCAAACUCCUACGGGAGGCAGCAGUAGGGAAUCUUCGGCAAUGGACGAAAGUCUGACCGAGCAACGCCGCGUGAGUGAAGAAGGGUUUCGGAUCGUAAAACUCUGUUGGUAGAGAAGAACGUUGGUGAGAGUGGAAAGCUCAUCAAGUGACGGUAACUACCCAGAAAGGGACGGCUAACUACGUG